UACGGAGGGUGCAAGCGUUAAUCGGAAUUACUGGGCGUAAAGCGUGCGCAGGCGGUUUGUUAAGUCCGUUGUGAAAGCCCCGAGCUCAACUUGGGAAUUGCAGUGGAUACUGGCAGGCUGGAGUACGGUAGAGGAAGGUGGAAUUCCCGGUGUAGCAGUGAAAUGCGUAGAUAUCGGGAGGAACACCAGUGGCGAAGGCGGCUCACUGGCCCGGUACUGACGCUGAGAUACGAAAGCGUGGGGAGCAAACAGG
rnacentral:rRNA from 1 species